CGGUACUUUGACCGUGCGAAGGUAGCAUAAUAAUUAGUUUUUUAAUUGAAAGCUGGAAUGAAUGGUCGAACGAGAAAAAUACUGUCUCAAGUUAAUUUUAAUUAGAAUUUUAUCUUUAAGUAAAAAAGCUUAAAUAAUUUUAAAAGACGAGAAGACCCUAUAGAGUUUUAUAAAUUUUAUUAUUUGAGGUAUUUAGAAUUUUAUAGCUUAAAAUAGUAAUAUUUAUUUUGUUGGGGUGACAGAAAAAUUUAUUAAACUUUUUUUUUAUAUAAAAACAUUAAUUUAUGAAUUAUUGAUCCAUUAAUUAUGAUUAUAAGAUUAAAUUACCUUAGGGAUAACAGCGUAAUUUUUUUUGAGAGUUCAAAUCGAAAAAGAAGUUUGCGACCUCGAUGUUGGAUUAAAAUUAAGUUUUGGUGUAGCAGCUAAAA
rnacentral:rRNA from 1 species